rnacentral:rRNA from 1 species
GGAAACUGCCUGAUGGAGGGGGAUAACUACUGGAAACGGUGGCUAAUACCGCAUAACGUCGCAAGACCAAAGAGGGGGACCUUCGGGCCUCUUGCCAUCAGAUGUGCCCAGAUGGGAUUAGCUUGUUGGUGAGGUAACGGCUCACCAAGGCGACGAUCCCUAGCUGGUCUGAGAGGAUGACCAGCCACACUGGAACUGAGACACGGUCCAGACUCCUACGGGAGGCAGCAGUGGGGAAUAUUGCACAAUGGGCGCAAGCCUGAUGCAGCCAUGCCGCGUGUAUGAAGAAGGCCUUCGGGUUGUAAAGUACUUUCAGCGGGGAGGAAGGUGUUGUGGUUAAUAACCGCAGCAAUUGACGUUACCCGCAGAAGAAGCACCGGCUAACUCCGUGCCAGCAGCCGCGGUAAUACGGAGGGUGCAAGCGUUAAUCGGAAUUACUGGGCGUAAAGCGCACGCAGGCGGUCUGUCAAGUCGGAUGUGAAAUCCCCGGGCUCAACCUGGGAACUGCAUUCGAAACUGGCAGGCUUGAGUCUUGUAGAGGGGGGUAGAAUUCCAGGUGUAGCGGUGAAAUGCGUAGAGAUCUGGAGGAAUACCGGUGGCGAAGGCGGCCCCCUGGACAAAGACUGACGCUCAGGUGCGAAAGCGUGGGGAGCAAACAGGAUUAGAUACCCUGGUAGUCCACGCCGUAAACGAUGUCUACUUGGAGGUUGUGCCCUUGAGGCGUGGCUUCCGGAGCUAACGCGUUAAGUAGACCGCCUGGGGAGUACGGCCGCAAGGUUAAAACUCAAAUGAAUUGACGGGGGCCCGCACAAGCGGUGGAGCAUGUGGUUUAAUUCGAUGCAACGCGAAGAACCUUACCUGGUCUUGACAUCCACAGAACUUUCCAGAGAUGGAUUGGUGCCUUCGGGAACUGUGAGACAGGUGCUGCAUGGCUGUCGUCAGCUCGUGUUGUGAAAUGUUGGGUUAAGUCCCGCAACGAGCGCAACCCUUAUCCUUUGUUGCCAGCGGUCCGGCCGGGAACUCAAAGGAGACUGCCAGUGAUAAACUGGAGGAAGGUGGGGAUGACGUCAAGUCAUCAUGGCCCUUACGACCAGGGCUACACACGUGCUACAAUGGCGCAUACAAAGAGAAGCGACCUCGCGAGAGCAAGCGGACCUCAUAAAGUGCGUCGUAGUCCGGAUUGGAGUCUGCAACUCGACUCCAUGAAGUCGGAAUCGCUAGUAAUCGUGGAUCAGAAUGCCACGGUGAAUACGUUCCCGGGCCUUGUACACACCGCCCGUCACACCAUGGGAGUGGGUUGCAAAAGAAGUAGGUAGCUUAACCUUCGGGAGGGCGCUUACCACUUUGUGAUUCAUGACUGGGGUGAAGUCGUAACAAGGUAACCGUAGGGGAACCUGC